UAUUUCGGACAAUGGGGGACACCCUGAUCCAGCCAUCCCGCGUGUAUGAUGAAGGUCUUCGGUUUGUAAAGUACUUUUGGCAGAGAAGAAAAGCUAUCCCCUACUACGGGAUACUGCUGACGGUCUCUGCAGAAUAAGCACCGGCUAACUACGCGCCAGCAGCCGCGGUAAUACGUAGGGUGCAAGCGCUAAUCGGAAUUACUGGGCGUAAAGCGUGUGUAGGCGGUUCGGAAAGAAAGAUGUGAAAUCCCAGGGCUCAACCUUGGAACUGCAUUUUUAACUGGCGAGCUAGAGUAUGUCAGAGGUGGGUAGAAUUCCACGUGUAGCAGUGAAAUGCGUAGAUAUGUGGAGGAAUACCAAUGGCGAAGGCAGCCCCCUGGGAUAAUACUGACGCUCAGACACGAAAGCGUGGGGAGCAAACAGG
rnacentral:rRNA from 1 species